rnacentral:rRNA from 1 species
UUGAACGCUGGCGGCAGGCCUAACACAUGCAAGUCGAGCGGAUGAAGGGAGCUUGCUCCUGGAUUCAGCGGCGGACGGGUGAGUAAUGCCUAGGAAUCUGCCUGGUAGUGGGGGAUAACGUCCGGAAACGGGUGCUAAUACCGCAUACGUCCUGAGGGAGAAAGUGGGGGAUCUUCGGACCUCACGCUAUCAGAUGAGCCUAGGUCGGAUUAGCUAGUUGGUGGGGUAAAGGCCUACCAAGGCGACGAUCCGUAACUGGUCUGAGAGGAUGAUCAGUCACACUGGAACUGAGACACGGUCCAGACUCCUACGGGAGGCAGCAGUGGGGAAUAUUGGACAAUGGGCGAAAGCCUGAUCCAGCCAUGCCGCGUGUGUGAAGAAGGUCUUCGGAUUGUAAAGCACUUUAAGUUGGGAGGAAGGGCAGUAAGUUAAUACCUUGCUGUUUUGACGUUACCAACAGAAUAAGCACCGGCUAACUUCGUG